UCCAUCUAACACAAAAAAUAAUAAUCUUUCACUCCAAUUAAUCUCACUUCACAUAAUUUCUGUAAUCAUGGACUUUUUUUGUCAAAACACAUACAACUCUCAAUUAACAACAAUCAUAAUCUUCUAUCAAGAAUUGAUCUUUUAUAGAAUUUGAUAACAAACUUCUAAUAUUUUUUCAUAAUAAUUCAAUCACAUAGUACUCCAAUUACAUAUUCAAUAUCUUAUAAAUCAAUCUUUGAUUUAUUCCACAAAUUCACUUCACAAUAUUUAUAAACUAUCCAUUAUUCUUCAACUACAAAGAAAAUAAAUAGAACAAAGAAGUAGCACCAAGCUUACCAUGGCUCAUGACUAUCACAGUCUAGCUCCUCCAAUAUCUUCUUCAACUUAUGCUUUACUUUUGAAAUUCCAAAUUCUAACCAUCAUUCCCUAGUUAACCAUUUUUUAUAACUAAUUCAAUCAUUUGACCUAUUGAAUUGACAAUUAUAGGACUGAUUAAACUACUUUAUCCAUAUCUUACAAAAACAAAUUUCUACCCAUUCUACAUAGUCCCACUCCAAACUGUGCAAUGUCCUCGUAAACAUAGAAUUGAUACAUAUCUAAAAAAAAACUUUUUAAUAAAACUCUACAAAAUUACUAUUCCUUUGGCCCACCUAAUUGAUCAACUUCUAUAUUAUCCGUUGUUGGUUC
rnacentral:lncRNA from 1 species